rnacentral:rRNA from 1 species
UGCCUUGUGCGCGCCGAAUUGUGGUCUGUAGACUGUGACAUUCGCCUCUGUCCCGGGCCCAAGUCCCUUGGAAAAGGGHAGCMGAGAGGGUGAGACUCCGUCCGUCAUGGCAGAGCGCAGUCGCUAGUACAAAUAUACAGAGUCGAGUUGUUUGGGAUUGCAGCUYUCAGUGGGUGGUAAAUUCCAUCUAAAGCUAAAUAUUGGUGGGAGACCGAUGGCGUACAAGUACCGUGAGGGAAAGA